rnacentral:rRNA from 1 species
UACGAAGGGGGCUAGCGUUGUUCGGAUUUACUGGGCGUAAAGCGCACGUAGGCGGAUUGUUAAGUGAGGGGUGAAAUCCCAGGGCUCAACCUCAGAACUGCCUUUGAUACUGAGGGUCUCGAGACCGGUAGAGGUAAGUGGAACUGCGAGUGUAGAGGUGAAAUUCGUAGAUAUUCGCAAGAACACCAGUGGCGAAGGCGGCUUACUGGACCGGUUCUGACGCUGAGGCGCGAAAGCGUGGGGAGCAAACAGG